GAUGAAGAACGUAGUAAAAUGCGAUACUUGGUGUGAAUUGCAGAAUCCCGUGAACCAUCGAGUUUUUGAACGCAAGUUGCGCCCGAAGCCUUUUGGCCGAGGGCACGUAUGCCUGGGCGUCACGCAUCGCGUCGCCCCCCACAAUUCUCCGUAAAAGGAACAUGUGUUUUGGGGGCGGAUAUUGGUCUCCCGUGCUCAUGGCGUGGUUGGCCGAAAUAGGAGUCCUUUCGAUGGACGCACGAACUAGUGGUGGUCGUAAAAACCCUCGUCUUUUGUUUCGUGCUGUUGCUCGCAAGGUAAACUCUUUAAAAACCCCAAUGUGUCGUCUCUUGACGACGCUUCGACCGCGACCCCAGGUCAGGCGGGACUACCCGCUGAGUUUAAGCAUAUCAAUAAGCGGAGGA
rnacentral:misc_RNA from 1 species